CUGGGUAAUUGUACAUGAAUGAAGAUCCAUGAAUUUCCGAAUGGGGCAACCUACUAUAAUAAACUUAUAGUUUUUUUGAUGUUAAAGUCAAAAAAGGGAACGCAGUGAACUGAAAUAUCUAAGUAACUGUAGGAAAAGAAAGUAACAACGAUUCUGGUAGUAGCGACGAGCGAAACUGGAAGAGCCUGAUACGAAUUACUAGUUAUAAAAUUUUAAAAAACUCGAAGUUUUUGGAAAGAAACAUCAAAGAAGGUGAUAAUCCUGUAGAGGUAAUUUAAAAUCUAGCGUAUCAAAAAGUACGGCGAGACACGAGAAAUCUUGUUGGAAUAUGGGAGGACCAUCUCCUAAGGCUAAAUACUCCUUAGUGACCGAUAGUGAACUAGUACCGUGAGGGAAAGGUGAAAAGAACCCCGGGAGGGGAGUGAAAUAGAUCCUGAAACUGUAUGCCUACAAUUAGUCAGAGCUCGUUAAUGAGUGAUGGCUUGCCUUUUGCAGAAUGAACCGGCGAGUUAUGAUAUAGAGCAAGGUUAAGUUUUGAGGAACGUAGCCAUAGCGAAAGCGAGUUUUAACAGAGCGUUUAGUUCUAUGUCAUAGACCCGAAACUGAAGUGAGCUAGCCAUGAGCAGGUUGAAGUUUAGGUAAAACUAAAUGGAGGACCGAACCAGGACACGUUGAAAAGUGUUUGGAUGACUUGUGGCUAGGGGUGAAAUUCCAAUCGAACUCAGAGAUAGCUGGUUCUCCCCGAAAUAGCUUUAGGGCUAGCGUUGAUUAUAUUUUUUUUGAAGGUAGAGCACUAAAUGAGUGAUGGUUCCACCUCGGGAUACUGACCUCAAUUAAACUCCGAAUGUCAUUAAAAUAAAAUCAGCAGUCAGACUUUGGGUGAUAAGGUCCAAAGUCAAAAGGGAAAGAGCCCAGACCGUCAGCUAAGGUCCCUAAAUUAAUGUUAAGUGGAAAAGGAAGUAAAGAUGUUUAGACAACUAGGAAGUUGGCUUAGAAGCAGCCAUCUUUUAAAGAGUGCGUAAUAGCUCACUAGUCAAAUGACUUUGCACCGAAAAUGUACCGGGGCUAAACAUUAUACCGAAGCUACGGAUAAAAAUAUUUAUAAUAUUUUAUAUGGUAGGGGAAGCGUUCUGAUAUCAGUGAAGCCAUAGCGGAAGCAGUGGUGGAGAGAUCAGAAGUGAGAAUGCCGGUGUAAGUAACGAAAAGAUAGGUGAGAAUCCUAUCCGUCGAAAACCCAAGGUUUCCAGGGGCAGGUUCGUCCUCCCUGGGUUAGUCAGGUCCUAAGAUGAGGAAGAAAUUCGUAGUCGAUGGCAAGCAGGCUAAAAUUCCUGCACUAAGAAAACAACUGAUGGAGGGACAAAGAAGGAUAAGCACACCUUUUAUUGGAUUAAGGUAGAAAAACCGAGUUUGAGAAAAUAGGCAAAUCCGUUUUCUUAUUCCAAAAAAUGAGGUUUGAAGGUAACGUGACUGAUUUCAUACUUUCAAGAAAAGCUUCUAGGGUUAAUUGUUUUUUUACCUGUACCGUAAACCGACACAGGUGGGAAGGUAGAGUAUACUAAG
rnacentral:rRNA from 1 species